GCAGACCACGUUAGAACCUCGGCUCCUGGAGUAGCAGAACCUCGGCUUCAAUGGGACCCUCAUUUCAUAAAUGAAGAAACUGAGAUUCAAAGAGGGGAACUACCGAAGGUUACAGAGCGAGUUCGUGGGCUUCCCAGAUGACCACCAAGGUGGAAGGGAUGAUGAUGUCCAGGCAGAAGGGAGCUAGGCCGGCCCAGGCUUUUCCUCUAGGCACAGCGGACUCCAGGUUCAGCCUUCCCGGAUGGCUUUAUUUGAGGAGCCUGGCAGUCCUAUAAGGGGAAACCCACCUAUUACUUCAAGCAAAGCUGAUGCAGAGAGAUGAGCCAAUUGAGCAGGAGACAAUGUAAGCAGCUGUGGGGGUGUCGAGUACUCCCUCCUGCCUGUGGGAGCUGCACCGUGGAGUCUAGCUUGUCACCCUCCGGAGGCAGAGCCCCUCCUCCCUGCCUCCUCUUGGUCUAGAUGGACAGCCAUGGCAGCGGAGGCUGCAGAGCUGAGCAGGUGAUACUGGGCAGCGACCCUGCUGCGGGCAGCGUCCACACCCCACAGCUCUUUACUGCAUUUAUUUAACAAGCGACAUUGAGCCAGCAAUCUCUGCUGAAAAGUGCUCAGCCCUGGAGAGAGAACUGUGAACAACGUGGACACAGCUCCUGCUUUGUGGAGCUUGGUGUCUGACUGGGGUAAAAAUAAACAAGCAGUUACAACACA
rnacentral:lncRNA from 1 species